GUUGGGUAGGGGAGCGUUCUGUAAGCCUGUGAAGGUGUACUGCGAGGUAUGCUGGAGGUAUCAGAAGUGCGAAUGCUGACAUAAGUAACGAUAAUGCGGGUGAAAAACCCGCACGCCGGAAGACCAAGGGUUCCUGUCCAACGUUAAUCGGGGCAGGGUGAGUCGACCCCUAAGGCGAGGCAGAAAUGCGUAGUCGAUGGGAAACGGGUUAAUAUUCCCGUACUGGUGAUAAUUGCGAUGGGGGGACGGAGAAGGCUAGGCUAUCCGGGCGACGGUUGUCCCGGUUUAAGGAUGUAGGCAGGUGAAUUAGGCAAAUCCGGUUCAUUAUAUGCUGAGGUCCGAUGACGAGUCACUACGGUGAUGAAGUAGCUCAUGCCCCGCUUCCAGGAAAAGCCUCUAAGCUCUAGAUUAUCAUUAAUCGUACCCCAAACCGACACAGGUGGUCAGGUAGAGAAUACUCAGGCGCUUGAGAGAACUCGGGUGAAGGAACUAGGCAAAAUGGUGCCGUAACUUCGGGAGAAGGCACGCUGGCAUUAGGUGAAGUGAUUUACUCAUGGAGCUGAAGCCAGUCGCAGAUACCAGCUGGCUGCAACUGUUUAUUAAAAACACAGCACUGUGCAAACACGAAAGUGGACGUAUACGGUGUGACGCCUGCCCGGUGCUGGAAGGUUAAUUGAUGGGGUUAUCCGUAAGGAGAAGCUCUUGAUCGAAGCCCCAGUAAACGGCGGCCGUAACUAUAACGGUCCUAAGGUAGCGAAAUUCCUUGUCGGGUAAGUUCCGACCUGCACGAAUGGCGUAAUGAUGGCCAGGCUGUCUCCACCCGAGACUCAGUGAAAUUGAACUCGCUGUGAAGAUGCAGUGUACCCGCGGCAAGACGGAAAGACCCCGUGAACCUUUACUAUAGCUUGACACUGAACAUUGAGCCUUGAUGUGUAGGAUAGGUGGGAGGCUUUGAAGUGUGGACGCCAGUCUGCAUGGAGCCAACCUUGAAAUACCACCCUUUAAUGUUUGAUGUUCUAACGUAGCCCCGUUAUCCGGGGUGCGGACAGUGUCUGGUGGGUAGUUUGACUGGGGCGGUCUCCUCCCAAAGAGUAACGGAGGAGCACGAAGGUUGGCUAAGCAUGGUCGGACAUCAUGCGGUUAGUGCAAAGGCAUAAGCCAGCUUGACUGCGAGAGUGACGGCUCGAGCAGGUACGAAAGUAGGUCUUAGUGAUCCGGUGGUUCUGAAUGGAAGGGCCAUCGCUCAACGGAUAAAAGGUACUCCGGGGAUAACAGGCUGAUACCGCCCAAGAGUUCAUAUCGACGGCGGUGUUUGGCACCUCGAUGUCGGCUCAUCACAUCCUGGGGCUGAAGUAGGUCCCAAGGGUACGGCUGUUCGCCGUUUAAAGUGGUACGCGAGCUGGGUUUAGAACGUCGUGAGACAGUUCGGUCCCUAUCUGCCGUGGGCGUUGGAAGAUUGAAAGGGGCUGCUCCUAGUACGAGAGGACCGGAGUGGACGCACCACUGGUGUUCGGGUUGUCAUGCCAAUGGCAUUGCCCGGUAGCUAAGUGCGGAAGAGAUAACCGCUGAAAGCAUCUAAGCGGGAAACUUGCCUUGAGAUGAGUCUUCCCUGAC
rnacentral:rRNA from 1 species